UUGUAAGUCGAAACAUUGUAAGCUGAAACUGCCUUUCCCAUAGGAAUCAAUGGUAUGAAGAGGGGCUUGGUUCCUGAACCAAGGCUUGAUACACUAUUUUCACCACAAUAACCCAGAUUUUUGUACUAAAUGAAUUAUAGAUGACUAAUGUUGCAACAUCAAUGUAUGUACUGUACACUGUAUUUUAAUUUGUAAACAGCAUUAAAAUAAAC